CGGCAGGGGGCCCUGGACUGAUCUGGCAUGCGUUCUUGAAGGGUCAAAGCGCGAGCUUUAUCACGAAACGACGUCGCCGAAAGUAGCAGGGCUAGCGGGAGCGGGUGAUGAGAUCGGUGGCAGGGCGGAGAUACGAGGAGGAGGAGAGGGGAGAAGGGAGAAGGAGAAGGAUGGGAAGGGUGGCAAGACUAGGUGUGUUGGGACUAGGGUGGCUGUGGAUGGGCGGGGGGCAUACACUCGCUACACUCGGUCAGUGAGUCAGUGUGGUUUGCUGGCCCGGUCGGAGAGGAGUGCUCGCUCGCGUGCUCUUGUCUCACUCUCACUCGCUCCCACGGCACACUUGGCGUUCGCUUCAUCCCCCAUCCGUUUUGUGUGUUCACCUCUAUUUCUCUCGGUUUUUGUUUUCCUCGAGUGUUUCCUUUCCUUCCCCUCCCUCUCCCCUUCCUCUCUUCGGGUAAACACGAUUGCGCGAAAGACAUUUGAAGUCAAGCAUCGGCUGGAGGAGGAGUUUUAAAGGGAAGGUCCCACGUUCUGCCUCUGAGUUUCCUCGUCUUAGCCAGGUGGCUACCAAUGCUGGCGGUGCGGUAGUGCGAUGUCAAGAUUUAUGUAAGUGUUGAUGGCGCGGGUCUCAUGGCCUCAGGACCGGGCCCUCCUGGAACACUCGCUUCAGCCCACCCACCUCCUCCCGCAGUCUCCCUCCCCUCCCUUCCCCGCCCUCUCCCCGUCCCCCGCCCCUCCACCCUCCGCGGUCGUUCGUCGUCCGGCGGCCUCCAAGUAGUCGUCCUUCCCUCCGUCGACGCUUCGUAGGACCCCAAGAAAAGGGUCGCACUGCGCGCACACCCACACGCCCGCCCG